rnacentral:rRNA from 1 species
UUAAGCGACUAAGCGUACACGGUGGAUGCCCUGGCAGUCAGAGGCGAUGAAGGACGUGCUAAUCUGCGAAAAGCGUCGGUAAGGUGAUAUGAACCGUUAUAGCCGGCGAUGUCCGAAUGGGGAAACCCAGUGCAAUUCGUUGCACUAUCGUUAACUGAAUACAUAGGUUAACGAGGCGAACCGGGGGAACUGAAACAUCUAAGUACCCCGAGGAAAAGAAAUCAACCGAGAUUCCCCCAGUAGCGGCGAGCGAACGGGGAGCAGCCCAGAGUCUGAAUCAGCUUGUGUGUUAGUGGAACGGUCUGGAAAGUCCGACGGUACAGGGUGAUAGUCCCGUACACCAAAAUGCACAGGUUGUGAACUCGAAGAGUAGGGCGGGACACGUGGUAUCCUGUCUGAAUAUGGGGGGACCAUCCUCCAAGGCUAAAUACUCCUGACUGACCGAUAGUGAACCAGUACCGUGAGGGAAAGGCGAAAAGAACCCCGGCGAGGGGAGUGAAAAAGAACCUGAAACCGUGUACGUACAAGCAGUGGGAGCACCUUCGGGUGUGACUGCGUACCUUUUGUAUAAUGGGUCAGCGACUUAUAUUCUGUAGCAAGGUUAACCGUAUAGGGGAGCCGCAGGGAAACCGAGUCUUAACUGGGCGUUAAGUUGCAGGGUAUAGACCCGAAACCCGGUGAUCUAGCCAUGGGCAGGUUGAAGGUUGGGUAACACUAACUGGAGGACCGAACCGACUAAUGUUGAAAAAUUAGCGGAUGACUUGUGGCUGGGGGUGAAAGGCCAAUCAAACCGGGAGAUAGCUGGUUCUCCCCGAAAGCUAUUUAGGUAGCGCCUCGUGAACUCAUCUUCGGGGGUAGAGCACUGUUUCGGCUAGGGGGUCAUCCCGACUUACCAACCCGAUGCAAACUACGAAUACCGAAGAAUGUUAUCACGGGAGACACACGGCGGGUGCUAACGUCCGUCGUGAAGAGGGAAACAACCCAGACCGCCAGCUAAGGUCCCAAAGUCAUGGUUAAGUGGGAAACGAUGUGGGAAGGCACAGACAGCCAGGAUGUUGGCUUAGAAGCAGCCAUCAUUUAAAGAAAGCGUAAUAGCUCACUGGUCGAGUCGGCCUGCGCGGAAGAUGUAACGGGGCUAAACCAUGCACCGAAGCUGCGGCAGCGACACUAUGUGUUGUUGGGUAGGGGAGCGUUCUGUAAGCCUGCGAAGGUGUGCUGUGAGGCAUGCUGGAGGUAUCAGAAGUGCGAAUGCUGACAUAAGUAACGAUAAAGCGGGUGAAAAGCCCGCUCGCCGGAAGACCAAGGGUUCCUGUCCAACGUUAAUCGGGGCAGGGUGAGUCGACCCCUAAGGCGAGGCCGAAAGGCGUAGUCGAUGGGAAACAGGUUAAUAUUCCUGUACUUGGUGUUACUGCGAAGGGGGGACGGAGAAGGCUAUGUUAGCCGGGCGACGGUUGUCCCGGUUUAAGCAUGUAGGCUGGUUGUCCAGGCAAAUCCGGAUAAUCAAGGCUGAGGUGUGAUGACGAGGCACUACGGUGCUGAAGUAACAAAUGCCCUGCUUCCAGGAAAAGCCUCUAAGCAUCAGGUAACAUCAAAUCGUACCCCAAACCGACACAGGUGGUCAGGUAGAGAAUACCAAGGCGCUUGAGAGAACUCGGGUGAAGGAACUAGGCAAAAUGGUGCCGUAACUUCGGGAGAAGGCACGCUGGUGUGUAGGUGAAGCCCCUGCGGGUGGAGCUGAGACCAGUCGAAGAUACCAGCUGGCUGCAACUGUUUAUUAAAAACACAGCACUGUGCAAACACGAAAGUGGACGUAUACGGUGUGACGCCUGCCCGGUGCCGGAAGGUUAAUUGAUGGGGUUAUCCGUAAGGAGAAGCUCUUGAUCGAAGCCCCGGUAAACGGCGGCCGUAACUAUAACGGUCCUAAGGUAGCGAAAUUCCUUGUCGGGUAAGUUCCGACCUGCACGAAUGGCGUAA